GAUUAAGUUAUUAAGGGCGCACGGUGGAUGCCUUGGCACUAGAAGCCGAUGAAGGACGUUACUAACGACGAUAUGCUUUGGGGAGCUGUAAGUAAGCUUUGAUCCAGAGAUUUCCGAAUGGGGAAACCCAGCAUGAGUUAUGUCAUGUUAUCGAUAUGUGAAUACAUAGCAUAUCAGAAGGCACACCCGGAGAACUGAAACAUCUUAGUACCCGGAGGAAGAGAAAGAAAAUUCGAUUCCCUUAGUAGCGGCGAGCGAAACGGGAAGAGCCCAAACCAACAAGCUUGCUUGUUGGGGUUGUAGGACACUCUAUACGGAGUUACAAAGGACGACAUUAGACGAAUCAUCUGGAAAGAUGAAUCAAAGAAGGUAAUAAUCCUGUAGUCGAAAAUGUUGUCUCUCUUGAGUGGAUCCUGAGUACGACGGAGCACGUGAAAUUCCGUCGGAAUCUGGGAGGACCAUCUCCUAAGGCUAAAUACUCUCUAGUGACCGAUAGUGAACCAGUACCGUGAGGGAAAGGUGAAAAGCACCCCGGAAGGGGAGUGAAAUAGAACCUGAAACCGUGUGCUUACAAGUAGUCAGAGCCCGUUAAUGGGUGAUGGCGUGCCUUUUGUAGAAUGAACCGGCGAGUUACGAUUUGAUGCAAGGUUAAGCAGUAAAUGUGGAGCCGUAGCGAAAGCGAGUCUGAAUAGGGCGUUUAGUAUUUGGUCGUAGACCCGAAACCAGGUGAUCUACCCUUGGUCAGGUUGAAGUUCAGGUAACACUGAAUGGAGGACCGAACCGACUUACGUUGAAAAGUGAGCGGAUGAACUGAGGGUAGCGGAGAAAUUCCAAUCGAACCUGGAGAUAGCUGGUUCUCUCCGAAAUAGCUUUAGGGCUAGCCUCAAGUGAUGAUUAUUGGAGGUAGAGCACUGUUUGGACGAGGGGCCCCUCUCGGGUUACCGAAUUCAGACAAACUCCGAAUGCCAAUUAAUUUAACUUGGGAGUCAGAACAUGGGUGAUAAGGUCCGUGUUCGAAAGGGAAACAGCCCAGACCACCAGCUAAGGUCCCAAAAUAUAUGUUAAGUGGAAAAGGAUGUGGCGUUGCCCAGACAACUAGGAUGUUGGCUUAGAAGCAGCCAUCAUUUAAAGAGUGCGUAAUAGCUCACUAGUCGAGUGACACUGCGCCGAAAAUGUACCGGGGCUAAACAUAUUACCGAAGCUGUGGAUUGUCCUUUGGACAAUGGUAGGAGAGCGUUCUAAGGGCGUUGAAGCAUGAUCGUAAGGACAUGUGGAGCGCUUAGAAGUGAGAAUGCCGGUGUGAGUAGCGAAAGACGGGUGAGAAUCCCGUCCACCGAUUGACUAAGGUUUCCAGAGGAAGGCUCGUCCGCUCUGGGUUAGUCGGGUCCUAAGCUGAGGCCGACAGGCGUAGGCGAUGGAUAACAGGUUGAUAUUCCUGUACCACCUAUAAUCGUUUUAAUCGAUGGGGGGACGCAGUAGGAUAGGCGAAGCGUGCGAUUGGAUUGCACGUCUAAGCAGUAAGGCUGAGUAUUAGGCAAAUCCGGUACUCGUUAAGGCUGAGCUGUGAUGGGGAGAAGACAUUGUGUCUUCGAGUCGUUGAUUUCACACUGCCGAGAAAAGCCUCUAGAUAGAAAAUAGGUGCCCGUACCGCAAACCGACACAGGUAGUCAAGAUGAGAAUUCUAAGGUGAGCGAGCGAACUCUCGUUAAGGAACUCGGCAAAAUGACCCCGUAACUUCGGGAGAAGGGGUGCUCUUUAGGGUUAACGCCCAGAAGAGCCGCAGUGAAUAGGCCCAAGCGACUGUUUAUCAAAAACACAGGUCUCUGCUAAACCGUAAGGUGAUGUAUAGGGGCUGACGCCUGCCCGGUGCUGGAAGGUUAAGAGGAGUGGUUAGCUUCUGCGAAGCUACGAAUCGAAGCCCCAGUAAACGGCGGCCGUAACUAUAACGGUCCUAAGGUAGCGAAAUUCCUUGUCGGGUAAGUUCCGACCCGCACGAAAGGCGUAACGAUUUGGGCACUGUCUCAACGAGAGACUCGGUGAAAUCAUAGUACCUGUGAAGAUGCAGGUUACCCGCGACAGGACGGAAAGACCCCGUGGAGCUUUACUGUAGCCUGAUAUUGAAAUUCGGCACAGCUUGUACAGGAUAGGUAGGAGCCUUUGAAACGUGAGCGCUAGCUUACGUGGAGGCGCUGGUGGGAUACUACCCUAGCUGUGUUGGCUUUCUAACCCGCACCACUUAUCGUGGUGGGAGACAGUGUCAGGCGGGCAGUUUGACUGGGGCGGUCGCCUCCUAAAAGGUAACGGAGGCGCUCAAAGGUUCCCUCAGAAUGGUUGGAAAUCAUUCAUAGAGUGUAAAGGCAUAAGGGAGCUUGACUGCGAGACCUACAAGUCGAGCAGGGUCGAAAGACGGACUUAGUGAUCCGGUGGUUCCGCAUGGAAGGGCCAUCGCUCAACGGAUAAAAGCUACCCCGGGGAUAACAGGCUUAUCUCCCCCAAGAGUUCACAUCGACGGGGAGGUUUGGCACCUCGAUGUCGGCUCAUCGCAUCCUGGGGCUGUAGUCGGUCCCAAGGGUUGGGCUGUUCGCCCAUUAAAGCGGUACGCGAGCUGGGUUCAGAACGUCGUGAGACAGUUCGGUCCCUAUCCGUCGUGGGCGUAGGAAAUUUGAGAGGAGCUGUCCUUAGUACGAGAGGACCGGGAUGGACAUACCUCUGGUGUACCAGUUGUCGUGCCAACGGCAUAGCUGGGUAGCUAUGUGUGGACGGGAUAAGUGCUGAAAGCAUCUAAGCAUGAAGCCCCCCUCAAGAUGAGAUUUCCCAACUUCGGUUAUAAGAUCCCUCAAAGAUGAUGAGGUUA
rnacentral:rRNA from 1 species